rnacentral:rRNA from 1 species
UGGGGAAUAUUGGACAAUGGGCGGAAGCCUGAUGCAGCGACGCCGCGUGAGGGAUGACGGCCUUCGGGUUGUAAACCUCUUUCAGCUCCGACGAAGCGAAAGUGACGGUAGGGGCAGAAGAAGCGCCGGCCAACUACGUGCCAGCAGCCGCGGUAAGACGUAGGGCGCGAGCGUUGUCCGGAUUUAUUGGGCGUAAAGAGCUCGUAGGCGGCUUGUUACGUCGACUGUGAAAACCCGCGGCUCAACCGUGUGGUCUGCAGUCGAUACGGGCAGGCUAGAAUUCGGUAGGGGAGACUGGAAUUCCUGGUGUAGCGGUGAAAUGCGCAGAUAUCAGGAGGAACACCGGUGGCGAAGGCGGGUCUCUGGGCCGCAACUGACGCUGAGGAGCGAAAGCAUGGGGAGCGAACA